rnacentral:rRNA from 1 species
CGGCAUCAGCUCAAUUUGAAUCUGGCCUCACGGUCCGAGUUGUAAUUUGUAGAGAAUGCUUCGGGCGAGGUCCGGUCUAAGUUCCUUGGAACAGGACGUCAUAGAGGGUGAGAAUCCCGUAUGCGACCGGUCGCCUCCGCCCAUGUGAAGCUUCUUCGACGAGUCGAGUUGUUUGGGAAUGCAGCUCAAAAUGGGUGGUAUAUUUCAUCUAAAGCUAAAUACUGGCCAGAGACCGAUAGCGCACAAGUAGAGUGAUCGAAAGAUGAAAAGCACUUUGGAAAGAGAGUUAAACAGUACGUGAAAUUGUUGAAAGGGAAGCGCUUGCAACCAGACUUGCGCGCAGCCGAUCACCCGGUGUUCUCACCGGUGCACUCGGUUGCGCUCAGGCCAGCAUCGGUUCCGGCGGUUGGAUAAAGGCCCUGGGAAUGUAGCUCCUCUCGGGGAGUGUUAUAGCCCUGGGUGCAAUGCAGCCUGCUGGGACCGAGGACCGCGCUUCGGCUAGGAUGCUGGCGUAAUGGUUGUAAGCGACCCGUCU